AUGAGAUGUAACAGGUGGGUGAAACGAACAGGCAGGUUUCUACCUGGGAUCAGAAAAGCCUAAAGUUCAGCCCUCAGUGUGGUGUCUACAUGCCUUCUGAGGAUAAGCUGUUGUGAUUUUCUGGAUCGCUGUUGGAGAUGAACAGUUCUGUCUUCCUCUCAUCAGCCUUGUUUCCCCAGUCUUUGCAAGUAGUGAAGAUCACAAACAAAUAUACUUUGAACGGGAUUGGCUUGUGGAACUGUGGAUGCUGUCCUCCACCCAAGUGUAUCUAUGAAAUUCCUCACCGGGCCAGGAGAUGACAGACAGAGCAGAGCAUGAUAGACUCUGUUCCCCUCUUCUAAUCUGUCACAGCACCAGGUUAUUUUUGAAUAAAUCCAUUGUUGUAGCAGG